UCAGAUUGAACGCUGGCGGCAGGCCUAACACAUGCAAGUCGAACGGUAACAGGAAACAGCUUGCUGUUUCGCUGACGAGUGGCGGACGGGUGAGUAAUGUCUGGGAAACUGCCUGAUGGAGGGGGAUAACUACUGGAAACGGUAGCUAAUACCGCAUAACGUCGCAAGACCAAAGAGGGGGACCUUCGGGCCUCUUGCCAUCGGAUGUGCCCAGAUGGGAUUAGCUAGUAGGUGGGGUAACGGCUCACCUAGGCGACGAUCCCUAGCUGGUCUGAGAGGAUGACCAGCCACACUGGAACUGAGACACGGUCCAGACUCCUACGGGAGGCAGCAGUGGGGAAUAUUGCACAAUGGGCGCAAGCCUGAUGCAGCCAUGCCGCGUGUAUGAAGAAGGCCUUCGGGUUGUAAAGUACUUUCAGCGGGGAGGAAGGGAGUAAAGUUAAUACCUUUGCUCAUUGACGUUACCCGCAGAAGAAGCACCGGCUAACUCCGUGCCAGCAGCCGCGGUAAUACGGAGGGUGCAAGCGUUAAUCGGAAUUACUGGGCGUAAAGCGCACGCAGGCGGUUUGUUAAGUCAGAUGUGAAAUCCCCGGGCUCAACCUGGGAACUGCAUCUGAUACUGGCAAGCUUGAGUCUCGUAGAGGGGGGUAGAAUUCCAGGUGUAGCGGUGAAAUGCGUAGAGAUCUGGAGGAAUACCGGUGGCGAAGGCGGCCCCCUGGACGAAGACUGACGCUCAGGUGCGAAAGCGUGGGGAGCAAACAGGAUU
rnacentral:rRNA from 1 species